rnacentral:rRNA from 1 species
GACGAACGCUGGCGGCGUGCUUAACACAUGCAAGUCGAACGGAAAGGCCCUGCUUUUGUGGGGUGCUCGAGUGGCGAACGGGUGAGUAACACGUGAGUAACCUGCCCUUGACUUUGGGAUAACUUCAGGAAACUGGGGCUAAUACCGGAUAGGAGCUCCUGCUGCAUGGUGUGGGUUGGAAAGUUUCGGCGGUUGGGGAUGGACUCGCGGCUUAUCAGCUUGUUGGUGGGGUAGUGGCUUACCAAGGCUUUGACGGGUAGCCGGCCUGAGAGGGUGACCGGCCACAUUGGGACUGAGAUACGGCACAGACUCCUACGGGAGGCAGCAGUGGGGAAUAUUGAACAAUGGGCGGAAGCCUGAUGCAGCAACGCCGCGUGCGGGAUGACGGCCUUCGGGUUGUAAACCGCUUUCGCCUGUGACGAAGCGUGAGUGACGGUAAUGGGUAAAGAAGCACCGGCUAACUACGUG